GGGGCGGUGUCCGCCUCCACCUGGACCCGGAGGAGCCUCAGGUGAGACCCGAAGGUCCCCGGACAAAGAGGUGAUUUGGACCGCACCUCUAAAGCCUGGGAAAGAGUGAAGACAGUGCGUGACAGGCUUUUGAUCCCCGCCUCGCCUGCCCCCAAGUCACUGAAUGGCCGAAAGCACCCCGAAAAGAGUGUGGGUGGGAAAUGACUCCUGUCCAGCUGGGACUGCUAGGGCUGAAUGAAUAACGAAGGUGACAACUGGCGGUUUAAUAUGCUUGGCGGUGAAGGUGGAGAAUGCUGCGGGAUCUGAACCCCAGAUUUGCUACUUAGCCAGGAAGCCCUUGGAACAGGAUAUAAAAGCAACACUUUCCACUGAGCCUGACAUCCUGCUUCCAGAUGCAAGUGGCUGAGCAAGCCCUGGAGGAACCUCUAAGCAGCUGCGACCAUGCUGCUCCAACUUCAAAACCUGAAUUCAACAAUUUCCACACUCAGCCCUCGCUCACCUCUCUGCUUCCUUGUCCAGACCCUCAAAACGAUCUGAAUAAUUUAUUACACUUUUAUCAGUCUUCUCCACUAACAGCUGGCACUUUGGAAGGCAAGGACCUUGCCUUAUUAGUCCUUGUGAUCUGGUAUCUGCUCCUAGGAAGAACUCAACCUAUGUUGGGUGGGAUGAAUUUUUGAAGAAGUUAUUGAGUUGUCAGGUCCAUGAUGGAGCAAAAUGACACAAAUGACCAUCCUCAGCUGGAGGCUUGCUGGUCACCCAUCCAGGAGGAUGCUUUGCACAGCUUCUAAGACUGCAGAGAGUCCCCAUGAACAAGAAGGCCCUCACCAGGUGCAGCUCUCUGACCUCGGACUUCCCAGCCUCUGGAACUGAUAUAUGGUAGCUACAUAUCCCAGAAUGGACAAGAUGGAAUCAUGGAGGAUCAAAGGACAUGAAUGGUCACAUGUCAAAUCCCAUGACACAGCACAACCUCAGUCUCAAGUUGAGUAAUAGCCUGUUUGGAUAAACUGGUCAGUGAGACUCCUCAUGUAUCUGGCUUAAAAAAUACAUUUCCAGCACUUAUGAGCCUGACGCAGAAGAACCACAAGUUCACAUCAGCCUAGCUUACAUGGUGAGUUCCAGGCCAGCCUGGACAAUAUACAGAACAAACCCUGUCUCAAAAAAAAAUUUUUUUUUUUCCUUCACGCAGUAGCAUUGUCUCCAAGUCCCCAUGUCUCAAUGUUUCUGUGUGGCACCAGUUGAGCCUGAGCCCAGAAAAGCUUUACCACAUUUACAGGCAAAAAGUGCCAUAAUGAAGUUGAAGGAGGCAUUGAGCUAAGGGGCACUGCAGGCUGCAGCAUUUAUCACAUGCAUAUCGUGGCGGGGAAGCAAAGACAAAAGACACAGUCACGACAAAAAGUGAGUCUGAUGGGUGGAGAGCCAAGACCCACGUCCAGAACAACAAACCAACACAGGGACAAGGGCUCGCCACAGGCUUUCAGGGCAAGUUGAACUCUAAUCCCAAACUAUAUGCCCUGGACAUUUUACCAAAGUCUUCUUUGUCUUAAUUUCCUUAUAAAGCUGUCACUUGGUAUCCUUGGAGGAUUGGUUCUGGGACCCCCCUGAGGAUACCAAAAUCUUCCAAUGUUCAAGUCCCUUACAUAAAAUGCCACAGUCCUUGCAUAUAACCUAUACAAUUCUCUCCUAUACUUUAAAUCAUCUCAUAUUACUUUCAAUAUGUAAUAUGAUGUAAAUAGUUGUUAUACUGCAUUAUUUAGGGAGUCAUUACAAAAGUCCAUAUAUGUUCAGUUGCUGAUGCAAUUUUUCUCCUGAAUAUUUUUGAGAUGCAUUUGCUUGGAUCUGUGGAUUUGUAACCUGAGGAUACUGAGGGCAGACUGCAUAUAAUAGUCCAUCCUUAUUGGUGGUUUCAGUAACGUGAGGUCAACCACUAUCGGAAAAUAUUAAAUGGAAAUUGCCAAAGUAAACAAUUCAUAAGCCAGAUACAGUGCUGCAUGCCUGUAAUCCCAGCUAUGCAUAAGUCUGAGGCAGGAGAAUGGCAAGUUUGAGGAGAAUCUUGACAAUUUAGCAAGGCUGCUUCAAAAUAAAAAAUAAAAAGAGCUAGAGAUGUGGCUCACUGUGGGGCCUUGGGUUAAAAGCCCAGUACUGCAAAACAGCAAAAAUUAAUAAGGUUUUUUUGUUUUUGACAUGGUCUUGCUAGCCGUUUGGGCUGGCCUCAAACUUUUGAUCCUCCUGCCUCAGGCUUUCAGGUAGCUGGGAUUAUAGGAAUGUGCCAAUAUACUUGGCCAAUUCAUAGGCUUUAAAUGAUUUUGAUUACAGUACAUUAUUAUAAUUGUUCUAUUUUAUUAUUAGAUUUUUCUUCAGUGUGGGGGAUGGAACCUAGGCUCUUGCAGUGUUAGACAUGUACUCUACCACAGAGCUACAUCUCCAGCCCCUUAUUAGCUGUUGUUAUUGACUUGUCAUUGUGCCCAACCAAACUCUAUUAUAUGUAUGUAUGUAUGUGUGUGUGUAGAGAAAAAACACAUGGUAUAAAGGGGUUCAGAACUGGCCAUGGUUUCAGGUCUCCUUGAAAUAUCUUGGAAUAUACCUUGAUUUACUACUAUAAAUGAAAUGGAGUGGUAAUCAUCACAGUACCCAUUUCGUAGGCCAUCAUGAGGACAGCAUGCAAUAACGUAUAUGAAGCACUUUGGACAGUUUUGCCACAUUGUCAGUGUUCAUUGCUGCACUGACUAUAUUGUUAAAUGAAAUAGUACUUAUAAAAUGCCACACAGAAAUGGAUGUGGCGGUAUAUACUUAUAAUUCAAAAUUCCAGGACUCAGGAGGCUGAAGCAGAAGGAAUGCAAGUUCAAGGCCAACCUGGCCAAUUUAGUGAGAACUUGGUCCUCCCAAAACAAAACAAAACAAAAAAGUCCUGAGCAAUGCCUAGCACUAUCAAACGUUCAGUAUUGUUAACUGGCAGUACUGUUAUUACUUUUAUUAUUUAAAUUCUGAAUCUAUUGUUGCAUAACAAAUAACUUCAACACUUAGCAUUUAAUACAAUAAUAAACAUUUAUUAUCUCACAUAGAUCCUAUGGAUCAAGAAUUUGGGAAAAACUUCCAGCUUCAUGGUUCUAGCCCAGGAUCUCUCAUGAGAUUACAAACUAUUGCCUGAAGCCUGCCUAGAGCUUGACUAGGCUCUGCCUCUGAGGUGGCUUGCUCACAUGGCUGCCACCUCUUUGCUAGCUAUCGGCCCAAGGCCUCAAUUCUUCACCACAUAGUCCCUGCAGAGGACUGCUUGAGUAUCCUUACAACAUGGCAGCUGACUUCUUCCAAGGCAAGUGGUCUAAGAGAGCAAGGCAGAAGCCACAAUGUCUCUUAAGAGCUACACCCAGAAGUCACAUUGCAUAUCACAGUAUCCUUCCUGGCUACACAAGUCUGUGCUGUCUUUGGGGGAGGAGCUACCGAAGCGCAUGAAUACCAGGCUGAGAGUCUAACUGGGUGCCAUUUUGCAGGCUGGCUACCGGAAGUACUAAAUUAUGUGACAGAGACAUGAGUUCUACAGGAACUCAGGUUCAGAUAAGAGGGAGACUAAUGAAGGUCAGAGUGCUAGGGAAUGUUCUGAUCACUCUUAGGUAGAUUUGAAUGAUAGCCUUUACCAUUUCUUUCUCAUCUUCCCUCAGUACGACUUGGAAAGAGAGGAAAGUAGGACUUUCACAAUCAGAAGGGUGAGAGGAAGCAAGAAAGCACAAGGAGACCUUUACAGAGGUGACAGGGCCUAUGUGGGGGUUGGUAGAGUACACUGACACUGGAAGGAAACAAAGUUUAUAAAUAAAUUGAAAGAUGCAGUGAGGCUGCUCAAGGAGGGCCGGGAAAGCCAAGUAAACAUGCUUAAACUAGCCAAAGUAAAAAGUAAAUGUUAAGGGCAUAGGCUUUGGCUAAAAGCAUGUUCAAAAUUCCUGCAGUCUUAUUUAAUAUGGGGGGAUUCAAGACUGGGUAGUGGAUUUAGAGAGUGUAAAAGAAAUUCUCCUCAAAGGGACAUUUGCUUCCACAGGAGCACAUCCUGGUGGGGUCAAGGCAAUACCAGGAAACGUACUUUAAUAGUUUCCUUAUAUCAGAGUAGGAAGCUCAAGUUGAUAAGAAGUUGGAAUCCAGCCUCCCAGUUGGAGGAGCCUCCCCAGGGGAAACCGUUGGAGUGGGAGAUAGUCUGUGUUUACACAGCAUGCCUUCUAUGUCUGCAGUUUACACAAACUGUAUCUUCUGGCCAGGCUGAAGAUAGAACCGCCUGACCUAGAAAAGCCCCAGUCUGGGCUCAGUGCCCAGCUAGCGCCGGGAGGAGCUCCCGCCCAGACCCACCCAGAUCCAAGCUCCUUGGACACACGGGGGUGGAGGCCACCCUGCACAAUGCAGACCUCACACGGAGGAUCCCACUCUGCAGCCAGGCAGAGCCUAGUCGAGGCUUGAGUAUCCUCCUCACGUCCUGCAGGGGGAACUACCUGUUCCGGUUCGUCUAGUUCAGAGCUGAGAGUGACACUUUCACUGGUAGACCACUUGCCCGGCACGUUCGAGGCCAAGCUAAAUCCUUGGGUUUGACCCUAGCACUUCAAAUUUUUACUAAAUAUUCUACUUCACUCUUAUUAGCAGGAGGGCAUACAUCACACCGCUAGCAUGACUUUGGCUCAUUCCUCAAAGCAACGAUAAAACCUAACGUUUGCAGGUUAGUGUGGGUUCACUAAGUGGUCCCAAAAGGACCCUUGGCGGUUUGCAGAUCGUGCUGCUGAAGAAGGUGGCAGGAGUCAGGCAUUUAUGGGUUUAAAUCAGCACUGUCCCUCGAGAGGGAGACCUUGGACACAUACGUUUUUACUGCUCAAAGCUUCAGUUUCCCUAUCUGGGAAAUGGGGAGAAGGCAACAGCCGAGAGGCUCUUUGACGGUGCCCAGCAAGUGCUCAAUAGACAACCACCCUCCUCACCCCAUUAUUCCAUUAUAUCCCAGGCCCCCUUGUCUUCACCUCAUGUUGUUACCCAGCCCCAGAUUUCCCUUAUUUUUUGUCCUCUUAAAAAUCCCCAGCCCCUGGCUGGCUGAGAGGUUUUGGCCUUGGGCAGCUGUACCUGCCUCCAACAUGGCACACAGCAUUUUGCUCAGUAGUAGCUGGUCAGUGCACCCACUGGGCACUCCCCUUAAUCUCUUUCCCCUGCUACUACCAGCACCUUGCCCAGUGCAAGCACACCUGUCUCCUCCUGCAGGGCAGCACUGGUCUUACUGGAGAAGGCACCAUCCGAGGUCAGUCCCCAGCUGUGCCUGUGGAGUCCCUGGGACACUUGGUGGACAAAGAGAUGGGAUCUCAGAGGCCUGGGGCAGGGAGGAGGAGAGAGGCCAAGGAGGAGAGAGCAGAGCCUCCCUCCUAGUCACAGCAAAGCCAGAAUUCACCUGGGAAGGAAUGCUUUCCCCAGGGAAGAAGUUAGGGGUAAGGAAAAGCUAGCCAGGCAUCUGAGGGCUUCCCUCCUAGCCCUUCCCACGACUUCUCAGAAUGGAGUCGCUUAAUGUGGCUCCAGCCCAGACUCAGGAUCUGAAAGAGUUCCCUGGAACUAAGGAGUGUCCUUCACAAACUCACACUAGGACAAAGUCCCUGAUUACCCUUGAGAUUCAAAGGGUUGGGCUAGAGUUAUAAAUUACACCUUUGUUUAGAAAAAAAAUUCAGACUCCAGGGCCUGAGUUCAGCGUUUUAAACAGCUUAGUGUUGAUCACCUCCCAGGCACACAGCCCUAGAGGCCACCUCGGCCUGUUCUCUAUCCUCUCUGAAGGAACCUGACUGGCUGCUAAAUCCUCCGGGGUUUGGCUUUGUGAAGUCUUCACAUUUGCUGUCACACCAGCCAGCCACUCUUGGCACACCUGUGUCACCAUAACUGCUGUGUCUGUUCCCUCGGGCUGGUGUCUCUCUUCUCUCAGUCCUCAUAGACACCGGUACCAGAGGAUUCCCCCUAAAACAGUGCACUAUGACCCAAUCCCUGCUCCAAAAAUACCUCAAUAUUAGCAACAGAGUAAAAUCCCAACAUGCUAAUCUGGUAUCCAAAUUCUUCCCAAUCUGAUUACACCCUACCCCUUCAGCCUCUCCUAUGGUCAUACCUUGGUCUUUUUCAGCUUCAGGACCUCUUAAACCCUGUACGUGCUGCAUUCUGAUGAGAAAAAAAAUGCUUCAGCACUGUAGCAAACCCCCCACUUACUCAUUACUGUCUUGUACUUGCGCAUUUUAAGAGCUAAUCAUGGGACACAAAAAAGUUGAGAGCAAUACCACUAAGCCCAAAAGGCUUAUAUUAGUCCAAUAAAAGGCCAUUAGCCCAGUAAAAUGUGAAAGCUCUGGAGAACUUUCACAAAUUAUUUCUAAUUACAUUAUUUCUUAUGGGAAAAAUUUGUUCAGUACUCAGUUUCAGCACUCUUCACUGGUUCCAGAACAAAUGAACAAGUACCGAGGCAUGACUUUGUCGUUGGUUCUGAGCAAACUGGCUUCCAUGUUCUUGGGCACAUGCUGGCUCUCGGGCUGCUCCAUCUGCCUGGAAAGCCAUGCCUCUGUCCACUUGCUGGAGGCUCCUGGCCACUUCCCAUGGAUCAGCCCAUUCUGUGGAAAUGGCCACAAGCUCCGGGCAACUAUUGCAUGUGUCAAACAUGGCCACUGUCACUGAGGAACUGAAUUUUGUAUUUUGUUAUCCAUUUUAAUUUGAAGACUAAUACUCAACUCAGUUACUAGAAAAUGUUUAAGUACAUUUGGAACAAUUUGGUUUUGUAAAUCUACUUUUUCAACUGUAAAUUGUUUGUAUGUGUGCCUGUGUAUGGCACUGAGGAUUGAAUCCAGGUCCUCAUGAAUGCUAAGCAAGUGUUCUACCAUUGCGCUACAUCUGCAGCCCUUUUUAUUUUGAGACAUAGUCUCAUGAAGUUGCCCAGGCUGGACCUUGUGAUCCUCUUGCCUCAGCCUCCAAGUAGCUGUAAUUACAGGUGUACUGCUUUGACUAAGUUCUAGGAAAUCUAAGUACAGUUUAAGUAUUUCUGAUAAAAAGC
ensembl:lncRNA